rnacentral:rRNA from 1 species
UACGAGGGGGGGCAAAUGUUGUUCGGAAUCACUGGGCGUAAAGGGUCCGUAGGCGGCUCAGCAAGUCGGGUGUGAAAUCUCCAGGCUCAACCUGGAGGGGCCACUCGAUACUGCUGUGGCUUGAGUCCAGUAGGGGAGCAUGGAAUUCCCGGUGUAGAGGUGAAAUUCGUAGAUAUCGGGAGGAACACCGGUGGCGAAGGCGGCGACCUGGGUGGAUACUGACGCUGAGGCGCGAAAGCGUGGGGAGCAAACAGG